rnacentral:lncRNA from 10 species
CAAGGCGCCAGGCAGGACGACAGCAGCAGCAGCGCGUCUCCUUCAGUCCAGGGAGCUCCCAGGGAAGUGGUCGACCCCUCCGGUGGCCGGGCCACUCUGCUAGAGUCCAUCCGCCAAGCUGGGGGCAUCGGCAAGGCCAAGCUGCGCAGCCCUGUCCCCGAGGUGGCUGGGAGGUGGCUCCUCAAACAGCCGCUUUCUCAUCAGUGCCCAGUGCUGGGUCAGGGAUCGACUGAGGCUCUGAGCUAACUGGGAAACACAGUGGCCUUGGAGGGCUGGGGAGUGUCAUGGGGGUGGGGACAGGGAGCCACCGGUCGCAUGUGACUGAACUCUUCACCCCAGUCUGUGACUUUCCCGUUGCAGUGAGAGCCACGAGCCAAGGUGGGCACUUGAUGUCGGAUCUCUUCAACAAGCUGGUCAUGAGGCGCAAGGGUAGGAGGCAGGGCCGCUGCCCGCCCUGGGCCGGCACAUUGUAAUUCUGUCCUGCCUUUUUCUUCCUGUAUUUAAGUCUCCGGG